AUAACAGCCUUUCGAAGUAUCUGAUGCAUGCCGAUCUAAGGAAUGAAACCUAAAGACAUGGGGAACUAAUGAUUUCGGCCUCUAUCGUUCGUCGUACCUGCUGUAUCUGGAGUUCUCGGUCCAGCAGCUUCUGUCCAGUCAGUUUCAUUGGGAACUCGGUCCGGGGAAGGAGCACUGAGUCUCGGUACAAACCCUGAGCAGGGGCUGCCUCGGCGGGCUGAGCGCUGCCUUCUCCUGAACUCCCACCGCGGGUGGAGCUGAAGGAGAGAGCACGGUGGAGGAGGCCACCUCCCCGGUGUGACCUCCGUCCCCAUCUCGCUAGCGUCUGGCUUACUGCCGAAACCCGGCACAGCAGCAUGGAGGGGCGAAGUAGCUCUGUGGCCAAGCAAAACCACAAA